GACGAACGCUGGCGGCGUGCUUAACACGUGCAAGUCGAACGGAAAGGCCCUGCUUUUGUGGGGUGCUCGAGUGGCGAACGGGUGAGUAACACGUGAGUAACCUGCCCUUGACUUUGGGAUAACUUCAGGAAACUGGGGCUAAUACCGGAUAGGAGCUCCUGCUGCAUGGUGGGGGUUGGAAAGUUUCGGCGGUUGGGGAUGGACUCGCGGCUUAUCAGCUUGUUGGUGGGGUAGUGGCUUACCAAGGCUUUGACGGGUAGCCGGCCUGAGAGGGUGACCGGCCACAUUGGGACUGAGAUACGGCCCAGACUCCUACGGGAGGCAGCAGUGGGGAAUAUUGCACAAUGGGCGGAAGCCUGAUGCAGCAACGCCGCGUGCGGGAUGACGGCCUUCGGGUUGUAAACCGCUUUCGCCUGUGACGAAGCGUGAGUGACGGUAGUGGGUAAAGAAGCACCGGCUAACUACGUG
rnacentral:rRNA from 1 species